rnacentral:misc_RNA from 1 species
UAAAUUGAUUAAUUCUAAUGAUGUCUAAGAAUGAUGAAUUUAAUGUCAUUAUUUGAUGCAUUUAUGCUUACUAUUUAGUUGUAUUUCUUAGUUUUACUUGUAUCUUCAAAUAUUUAUUAAUUUUAUAAACUUUGCAAUUUAAAAAAAAAAAAUUGCUAGUGAUAGGCUGUUACCAUUGCAUAAUAGCCAUUACAAGUCUGUUUCCAUUACUUGUGACCGUGACUGUGAACGCGAUUUAUUUGCACCUCUAAAAUUUUUAAAAUUGAAAUUUUUUCUAUAAAUGUGUAAUUUAAAAAAGAAAAAAAAAACUUUCCCUUGCUUCUCUAAUUUUACUUUUUUAUCAUAUCAACAAGUAAUAAAUACUUCCGUGCAUUUUUUUAAAUACUUCCUAGACUUAUGGAAGAUAUUCAGCCAUAUAUUUGUAUUCUGGGGAUAGAUUCACACUUAAUAAGACAAAAUCAAGGAGUUGAAAGGUUAAGUAGAACUAGGGCCAAGCAGAAAUUAGUUUUUAUCGAAAAAUCGAACUGAACCGAAAUUUUUGGCUUACUUCUAUCCUAAAUUUCAGUUUGGUUUGAUCUUUUCAUUUUUCAUUUUUUGGUUUUUACAGUUCAGUUUGGUUCAUAUUUUAAGAAACCAUUUGCACACCACUAAGUAGAACAAACCUUCAAAUCAAUGGCUCAAUAUCAAAAUA